rnacentral:rRNA from 1 species
CCUACGGGCGGCAGCAGUGGGGAAUAUUGGACAAUGGGCGAAAGCCUGAUCCAGCCAUGCCGCGUGUGUGAAGAAGGCCUUCGGGUUGUAAAGCACUUUCAGUGGGGAAGAAAGCCUUGGGGCUAAUACCCUCGAGGAAGGACAUCACCCACAGAAGAAGCACCGGCUAACUCCGUGCCAGCAGCCGCGGUAAUACGGAGGGUGCGAGCGUUAAUCGGAAUUACUGGGCGUAAAGCGCGCGUAGGCGGUCUGAUAAGCCGGUUGUGAAAGCCCCGGGCUCAACCUGGGAACGGCAUCCGGAACUGUCAGGCUAGAGUGCAGGAGAGGAAGGUAGAAUUCCCGGUGUAGCAGUGAAAUGCGUAGAGAUCGGGAGGAAUACCAGUGGCGAAGGCGGCCUUCUGGACUGACACUGACGCUGAGGUGCGAAAGCGUGGGUAGCAAACAGGAUUAGAUCCCCUAGUAGUC